rnacentral:rRNA from 1 species
AACGAACGCUGGCGGCGUGCCUAACACAUGCAAGUCGAACGAGAAAGGGGCUUCGGCUCCGAGUAAAGUGGCGCACGGGUGAGUAACACGUAGGUAACCUGCCUCUAAGAUUGGGAUAACUCGUCGAAAGAUGAGCUAAUACCGAAUAAGACCACAGUUUCUGCGGGGACAGGGGUCAAAGGUAGCCUCUGCUUGCAAGCUAUCACUUAGAGAUGGGCCUGCGCACCAUUAGCUAGUUGGUAGGGUAACGGCCUACCAAGGCAAAGAUGGUUAGCUGGUCUGAGAGGAUGGCCAGCCACACUGGAACUGAGACACGGUCCAGACUCCUACGGGAGGCAGCAGGGGGGGAUGUUGCGCAAUGGGCGGAAGCCUGACGCAGCAACGCCGCGUGAGUGAUGAAGGCCUUCGGGUCGUAAAGCUCUGUCGGGAGGAACGAAUGCUCCUGAGGUAAACAGCCUCGGGAGGUGACGGUACCUUCAAAGGAAGCACCGGCUAACUCUGUGCCAGCCGCCGCUGUAACAC